AACCUGAUAGGAGAAAAUUCUGUUGCAUACAAUUUGUGGGGGGUAAAAGUAAAUUUCGAAUGGUAGAAAGCAUAAUUUUUCGAAAACAUUACUUAGCCGAUACGAGCCUUUUUGGAUUAAAAAGCCCAGCCCAACACGUACUUGCUACAUGUUAGGGUUUCUCUUCUACACUAUAAAUUGUUGCUACCUUACCAUUCUCUGUUUCAGUGGCCAUAAACUAGGGUUCCGUUCCGACAAUUUGAAGUACCGUUCACGAUGAGAGCCAAGUGGAAGAAGAAGCGUAUGAGGAGAUUGAAGAGGAAGCGCCGAAAGAUGAGACAGAGAUCUAAGUAGUGCGGUUUUUAUUUAUCGUAGUUUCAUCUUGUUCUUCAAUUUGGAUGUUAUUGUUGUUCAAUGGGAUCCUCCCAAUAACAGUCUUUACUAAUUUUCAUGUUUUGAUACAUUAUUAAUGGUUUUACAGUUUAUUUUUAUUUUGUUAAAUUUGGUUUAAAAAA